GAACUACAGCCAAACCAGGAACUACUGAUGCUGGAACUACAGCCGAACCAUCUUUGCCAAGUACAACUUCUUCUACUAUUGCCACCACCGCUACGCCACCAAUUCAGUGUGAGAACGGAGGUACACCUGAAGGACAGUCUUGCAACUGUCCUCCUGACUUCCACGGGGAGACCUGCAGAGAUUUUAAAACUGACAUAGUGCCAGGUACGCUCAAUAGGACAGCGGUGGUUAAGGAUAUGGUUACUAAUUCCCCGUACAUAGAAAAAUAUAACAACAAAACUUCAACUGAAUACACAGACAAGGUCAAGGAUUUCACAACAGAGAUGGAGGAAUACUACAGGAGUAAAGGGAUACGGAAUUUCACAGUGGAAAACGUAACUCUGAGUAAUGGGUCAGUUAUGACCACACGCUUGGGACGAGGUAUAGAGGAGAAAAGGGUAAAUGCAAAAUACAAAGAGAACCUCUUACAUUCUUAUUCAUACUUUAUAAUCAUUUUUCACAGAGAAGCUGAAAGUUGCAGAUGGUGUAGUGAUGAUAUUUUGCUCUGUGAUGCUUUCAGAUGGAAAACUCCUUGUACAACCCCAAGGCAGAAUCAUAUCGGUAAUUUAAAUAAGUGAUUCAUUAACUAUGAUACAUAAACCUUUCGAUUUUGGUUUUGGUGAUGGUUGGUUAACACCAAGGUUGGGGUUAAUUCCAUUUCAUUUUCAGUCUAUUCAGAUAUAUGUACACUGAAAUUCUUCAAUGCUUUUCAAUGAGUAAAAUGUGGAAUUGUGUUUACUUUCUGACUUGACUGUAACUGAAACGGAAUUGACCCCAACCCUGGUUACCACAGAAUUCAAAUAGGUUAGUGGUAGUUGGGUUUGCCAAGACCACACCCUAAGUUUACAAAAACAAAUGUUAGGCCUCACUGUGGGAAGAAAUUAAGUGCAAAAUAACCUCAAAGACGUUUACUCAACCUCCUUUCUUAAGUUUGAACGUCGAACACAAUAUCAUUCUGACGGUUCUGAAUGAACCAGGAGCUGAGCAACAGUACAAGAACUUCGUAGACGACGUUAAUUCAGCUUUGCAAAAUCUGUCAUUGUGUUCAGGUAACAGCAAUACAUAAAGUCACAUCUAAAAACACACCUUCAAAAUACACACAACAAUUCAAAUCAAACUAUCAUUGUUAAGACAUGGACAAAAAUAUUUGGUAAUAU
rnacentral:lncRNA from 13 species